GCGCAAAUGUGUUGGAACAGACACUUAGUGCCAUAAACAGUCACAGCAAGGAUCUGCCGCUGAGCACUGAGGGGUAAUGGGAGGUUCUGGGGCAAGAAGAGCUUUUGAGGACUCCAUAAGGACAGAGGCGGGGACGGUGGGAAGGAGUGGGCAGUGUGGGUGGAAGGCAGGGGCUUGGGGACAGCGAGGGGGAGGCCUGCAGCAGGGGCGCGGCUCUGGAGAACAAGGGAGCAGGGGCUGUGGGGAGCGGUCGCUGCAGGGUUGGACGGAUGCUAGGCCAAGGUGGGGCCAGCGGCACGGGUUCCCAGGUGAGUGGGGCUGGGACCGGAUGGGAGGGAGUGACCUCCCCAUCACGUGGAGGCUGAGUUGAUGACGAUGGGAAGAGCAGCGGGGGCCAAAAAGGGAGGGACGGCCCGGCACGCCGUGCACUCGAUGCCCAACGGGCCCCCAUUUAAGGUAAGCAUUUGUUUAACUGCACCGUGACACACAGUAUUUUCUGAAUUUAAGUUGAACUCAGUUCAACAAAUGUUUAUGAACUGUCUACGGAGGAGAGGCACUGAAGUGCAGCGAUGACUCAACGCGUACUUGAGCUUCAAAAGGCUGCCAGAACCUUUUCAGUUCCUGUUCUUUGGAAACACUUUGGGAAAUUUUUGAGGCCAGGAGUUCCAAGCUGCAGUGUGUGAUUAUCGUGUCUGUGAAUGGCCACGGCACUCCAGCCUGGGCAACAUAGCAAGACCUCAUCUCUUUAAAAAAGACAGGUCUGAGCAGCUCCUAGGGGCCAAUCCCUAUUCGAGGCAACAGCAGAGGGAAGACAAGAAGAUGGCUACAUGCACCCACCACCUGACUGCAGCAGCUCACAGGCCCCCCAGGGCUGGCAUUGCCUGACCCAGGGAAUGUGGCAAGGGGUGCCACCAAGGCAAACACAGGAGGAAUCUUUAGACGGUGUGCUGGUCCCCACACCAGCCUCUGACUUGAAGUGCCUCCAUUCCCCUAGCAAAUGCAUGAAACAAAAGUUGUGCAGGCCUCACGUCUGAUUGAUUCUCUUCUCUUUGUGGACAUACGUUAGACUUAGAAAUAAACUCGUAUUAAAAGAUAUUUUUAAUGGCUUUUUCUUCCCUUACUUAGAGGCAAAUAAUGAUAAGCUAUACUUCAGUAUGUAUUUUAGGCUUGAAAUCAU
rnacentral:lncRNA from 1 species